GAAAAGAACUUUGAAGAGAGAGUUCAAGAGUACGUGAAACCGUUCAGGGGUAAACCUGAGAAACCCAAAAGAUCGAAUGGGGAGAUUCAUCGACGACGAAGCUGGCUCCCGUUGGCGUGCGAUUCCCCCGUUGGGACCUCGGUUCCAGAACGCGGGGUACACCCCUUCGGCGAACAACCGGCGACGUAGUCGUGCACUUCUCCCUUAGUAGAACGUCGCGACCCGUUGUGUGUCGGUCUACGGCCUGGGCUAUUUGCCUGUCGCGGUGGCAUUCGUUCGCUCGCGGCAGAGGCUCGGUCGCCCGGCCGGCUGCACGACGGUACUCCGACGGUAUCGGGCCGCAACCAAUCCAUUCUCGAAUGGUAUAUGCGUCCAGGCCCGUCGCAAGCUCGGACAGCACCCGGAGCGUGUGGACGCAGUGCCCUCCCCGGGUCUGGCCAGCUGUUAGCAGACGGUGUCCUCGGACCGGCCAAGCUUCGAAUUACCGGUCAGCGACGCUAUUGCUUUGGGUACUCUCAGGACCCGUCUUGAAACACGGACCAAGGAGUCUAACAUGUGCGCGAGUCAUUGGGACAUUGAAACCUAAAGGCGAAAUGAAAGUGAAAGUCGUCGUAAGCGUCGACCAAGGGAGGAUGGGCCGCGUCACGUCGCGGCCUCGCACUCCCGGGGCGUCUCGUUCUCGUUGAGAAGAGGCGCACCCAGAGCGUACACGUU
rnacentral:rRNA from 1 species